rnacentral:rRNA from 1 species
AUUGAACGCUGGCGGCAGGCCUAACACAUGCAAGUCGAACGAGUGGGAGACGGGUGAGUAAUGUGUGGGAAACUGCGUGAUGGAGGGGGAUAACUACGGGAAACGGUAGCAAAUACCGCAUACCAUCGGAUGAGCCCAGAUGGGAUUAGCUAGUAGGUGGGGUAAAGGCUCACCUAGGCGACGAUCCCUAGCUGGUCUGAGAGGAUGAACAGCCACACUGGAACUGAGACACGGUCCAGACUCCUACGGGAGGCAGCAGUGGGGAAUAUUGCACAAUGGGCGCAAGCCUGAUGCAGCCAUGCCGCGUGUAUGAAGAAGGCCUUCGGGUUGUAAAGUACUUUCAGCGGGGAGGCGUUACCCACAGAAGAAGCACCGGCUAACUCCGUGCCAGCAGCCGCGGUAAUAC